rnacentral:rRNA from 1 species
GUGGGGAAUAUUGGACAAUGGGCGAAAGCCUGAUCCAGCCAUGCCGCGUGUGUGAAGAAGGUCUUCGGAUUGUAAAGCACUUUAAGUUGGGAGGAAGGGCAGUAAGUUAAUACCUUGCUGUUUUGACGUUACCGACAGAAUAAGCACCGGCUAACUUCGUGCCAGCAGCCGCGGUAAUACGAAGGGUGCAAGCGUUAAUCGGAAUUACUGGGCGUAAAGCGCGCGUAGGUGGUUUUGUAAGUUGGAGGUGAAAUCCCCGGGCUCAACCGUGGAACUGCCUCCAAAACUGCAUGACUAGAGUACGGUAGAGGGUAGUGGAAUUUCCUGUGUAGCGGUGAAAUGCGUAGAUAUAGGAAGGAACACCAGUGGCGAAGGCGACUACCUGGACUGAUACUGACACUGAGGUGCGAAAGCGUGGGGAGCAAACAGGAUUAGAAACCCGGGUAGUCC